rnacentral:tRNA from 1 species
CGGGGUGUAGCGUAGCCCGGUUAUCGCGCCUGGUUUGGGACCAGGAGGUCGAGUGUUCGAAUCACUCCACCCCGA